GGCAUUUGAACAUUUAUGGGUAAAUUAUGCUUGUUUGGCGGCAAAUCAAAAUAAUGGUCAGCAAAGAAUGUGUACAACAGAGUACUUAUUUUAAGUUUUGACCUCCCUCCAAAUAUUUGGUACAACUUAGUAUAUUAAUUUUUACUUCCCUCCAAUUAUUUCAUCAAUGAAAUAUUCCCUCUUCUGCCGCACACAUAUUCACCCACAAUUUGCAAAAGGAUUCCUCUAUGUCACGGUAAGCCAUAGAAGAACUAGGGUUUCUGGAUUCAUUAUCUCUCUCAUGAUCGUCACGCACAAGUAAAUCUAUCUUUCAUCGUCGUCUCUCUCACUAUCACCAACCAAUAUCACCAGGCAGCCUCUCUUUACUCUCUCUAUUUCUAUCUCUUUUUCUUUAGGUAUUGAUUUCUUGUUGUUGAUGGCCGUUCUAAAAUCUACAAGUCACAAAUAAUCUUCAAAUUUGAUAUAUACAAGUUGAAUAUGCAUUUAAUUUGGUCAUGGUAAGUACAGUUUAUAUACUAAUAAUUACCUUCAUUUUAUUGUAGGAGAAUUUGUUUCUUUUUUCCCAGACGAAAAUAGAGCAGUGAUGGUGAAUCAUUUGUAUAUAGAUUACAAUUGGUAUUUCACGAAGUUUUUUGUUGGAGAAAUUUUUCCUUUUACGGUACCAUGACAUUAUUGUAAGGUAAACUAGAUUUCCUUUAUUUCUCAUAAAAGUCUUCUCUAAAAGAAGGAUGUUUGGAAAUUAAUAAAUUUCUUUCAUUACGGUUUUUCAACAAAAUAAUAUUUUCCAGUUCAAAGCUGGAAUAAAAUUGGUCACUUCAACGUUAAAUUUGAAAAAUAAAUAUACUCUCAAUUUGUCUAAUUUUCAUAUCUAAAUUGUUUAAAGCAAUUGUUUUUAACCUGUUACUAGAAAAUGUAUAGUUGUAGUUAUCCUCAUUUUCAUAUGACAAAAAUAUUCAUUUUAACAUAUUAGUUAAAGUCAUGUAGUUUGAGUUUUAGAAAUAGGGAAGUCAAGCAUUUUGGAACAUAUGAGAGUAUUACCCAAAUAUUGGAAUGGGUACAAAGACUUAUGUACUCAUUUGAUAGAAAUUUUACAUGUUUUCUUUUGGUUAUUUGGCUAUAUGUGAGAUUUAAACUUGUUUAUUUCAUUAUCUUUCAGUUUCAGGCCCUGUGUGAAGUAGUUGCAGAAGAGGGAAGGCCAUGGUAUGAGCUAGAAUGGUAGAACCGGAGAUGAGAAAUCAUAAGUAUUAUUGAGUCCUAAGAAAGUGAUUCCUCCUUAUUGUUGUAUGAGGUACUCUGGCUUUUCUAUAAGCUUAUACUUAUAUGUCCAAAUGACUGUUAAGUCUAUUUAUCGGUAAUAAACCAGGUCUAUAUUCUCUCACAUCUAAAAGUAUGCAUAGUAAUUUUAGUUGUAAGAUGAUUUGGUUAGAAUGCUUUUCACUUGGUUGAGUUCGGUUGAAUUAGUUCUUCAAGUGUCAUGGAUGUAGCUAUCACGCCUGUGUACAAGGUUUUGCAGAUAUUCUUUUAGUAAAUUUAUCGAUCUAUUUUAAUAUGAAGUGGUAGAUCUGGAACUACUUGUAAAAACCAACUCUGUUUGUCCCUAUUUAUGUGAUGCACUUUCCUUUUUAGUCUAUAUCAAAAAGAAUGAUACCUUAUUAUAUUUAGAAAUAAUUUAAAUUUAAACCUACCAUUUUACCCUUAAUGAGAUGAUAUAUAGUCACAAAUAUAUCUAUUACUUAGUUUAGACUACAAGUUUCAGAAGUCUUUCUUUCUUUGUUAAACUUUGUGCCUAGUCAAAUUGCAUUACAUAAACUAGAUGGAGGAGUAAUUUAUUAUAUCUUAUGUCUAAUUAGAUUAUUUUGUUGAAGAAUUCCUCAAUUGAAAAGGGUUAACAUUAAUUCGCUAAUGUUUGCAGCAUGUUAAGUUGCUUUUCAAUUACAUUACUAUUUGCAUUUUCCUAAGUUAUCAUGCAUUUUUUGUGUUUUUGGGUAUGUUUGGUUUGUGUGCAUACUACCGAAACUUAAAGGCAAGUACCACCGAAACUUAAAGGAAGACACUGUCACUUGGAAGUAACAUAAAAAUUAAUAAUUUCAUCAUGAAUUCCUUCUAAACGUUACUACUAAUAUUAGAAGUGAGAACAAGAUAAACUUUCUAUGAAAAUUCAGUAAAUAUGUUGCAUUAGUGUCUUUCUGUGGUAAGAUAUGAAAGGAUUAAUUUAGCUUUUCUUAAGUGAGUAGUUAGUAAAUAUGUUGCGUUCUUGUCUUUCUGUGGUAUGAUAUGAAAGGAUUAAUUCAGCUUUAUUUUUGUAUUGGCUUAAUACCAUCUUGGUAGUAGGAUAUUAUUAAUAAAUUACCUUUACUUAUCAAUUUUAGUUUGUUGGUUAGCUAUUUUGAUUAUUCUCUAUAUGUGUGAUGAGAUUCAAUCUUGUUUUGCUCUUCCAUCAAAUUGGCUUUUUCUGCUAGUAAAUAUAUUUUCAUGACCUAGAAACCUUGUUUGUGAAGUUGCAGUGUUCAUUGAACUUGUAGUAUGUUCAAUAGAUAUAUAGCAUCUGCUUGCUACUAAGCAACAAUUAAUACUUAAGUCAUGCAAGUUGAGCUUGAUGUAUUUGAUUUGUGAAGUUUCCAUUUGUUAGAUAAUAUUCAUACCGAAAGUUUUGAGGAAGCUUUCUUUCGAUUAAAGUGCUUUUCACUGUUAAGAUCAUGACAAUACACUUUGUCUGCAGAUCAUGGACAUGCAAGCCUAAUUAAAGCACAAAAGGAUUGAUGCAACUAACGCAAGAGAUCAUGGGAACUUCAAUGUAAUGGCCAAAUUCUCUUUUAGUGAACAAAUUGUCGCUCUUUUAUCAAUAUUUCACUAAAUUAUAGUCAUAUUUAGUAUGCUACUUGUUCAUUUAUGAAUUUCAGAUCUGAUUUCAAAAAAGCAUUGAUAGCAUGCACAAAACUUGUAUCAUGCUGGUGUAAUUUGAGAAGUUGAUUUAGUGAAAUGUAGCUCCUUAUCCUGGUGCAUAAGAGGGGUUGAUCUAAUUCAAUCUAGCCCAUCAAUUUGGUUCACAAAUGGAUCUUUAAGCUUGUGCAAGUACAUUUGGCACAUAUGGAAGACUUCCAUAUGAUCAAGGAAUGAAGAAAUUUGUUAGACUUGAAAUUUAUUGGAUUCAAAUGAUUUUCCUCCUCCUAUGUAUUUACACUUUGAAACAAUAAAUUAGCAGUUGUAUUUGUUUUGAAUAUAAUAAAAUACAUUUUGC
rnacentral:lncRNA from 1 species